rnacentral:rRNA from 1 species
UAAAACGUAGGGGGCCAGCGUUGCUCGGAAUUACUGGGCGUAAAGGGUCCGUAGGCGGUGUGGCAAGUCGGAAGUGAAAUCUCUGGGCUUAACUCAGAGGCUGCUUCCGAAACUGCCGUGCUAGAGUGCGAGAGAGGCAAGUGGAAUUGCGGGUGUAGCGGUGAAAUGCGUAGAUAUCCGCAGGAACAUCCGAGGCGAAAGCGGCUUGCUGGAUCGCAACUGACGCUGAGGGACGAAAGCUAGGGGAGCAAACAGGAUUAGAUACCCUGG